AUGGAUCUUGUGCGCGUGAAGCUCCUUCUUCCUCCAGCACAAGAACGUACAAGAAGCAUCCAAGGACAGACCCGGCGGAAAACCCAUGGUGCCAUCUGCAGGACAAAUUGGCGUGCUAAUCUAUCGAGCUUUCCUUCUGAUUUCAUGGAGAACCUGGUGUGCUAUAUGGGGAAGCAAAGCAGCAGCCCACAACUCCGACUUGCGACUCCAGAUGAAGGGACCACGACGCACCAUGCUGCUCCCUUGGAAGGUCGGCUGAGCGAUGCGGCGGCGAAAGCAGUGAACGAGCUGCUGCCGUCGGGCGCCGCCGGCAACCUGAGCAGCCUCUGCUCCUGGGCCGACAAGGUCAGGUUCAGAUAA
rnacentral:rRNA from 1 species